CAGCAGCCGCGGGAAUACGAAGGGGGCUAGCGUUGCUCGGAAUUACUGGGCGUAGAGGGCGCGUAGGCGGACAGUUCAGUCGGGGGUGAAAGCCCGGGGCUCAACCUCGGAAUUGCCUUCGAUACUGGCUGUCUUGAGUAUGAGAGAGGUGUGUGGAACUCCGAGUGUAGAGGUGAAAUUCGUAGAUAUUCGGAGGAACACCAGUGGCGAAGGCGACACACUGGCUCAUUACUGACGCUGAGGCGCGAAAGCGUGGGGAGCAAACAGGAUUAGAUACCCGCGUAGUCCCUGUCUCUUAUAC
rnacentral:rRNA from 1 species